rnacentral:pre_miRNA from 1 species
UGUAAGUUUAUAUAGUCCCACAGUUUGCUGAAGAACUCGGGACUACAUAGAUUUACGCG